UGGGGAAUAUUGGACAAUGGGCGAAAGCCUGAUCCAGCAAUGCCGCGUGAAUGAUGAAGGCCUUAGGGUUGUAAAGUUCUUUUAGCAGGGAAGAUAAUGACGGUACCUGCAGAAAAAGCCCCGGCUAACUUCGUGCCAGCAGCCGCGGUAAGACGAAGGGGGCUAGCGUUGUUCGGAAUUACUGGGCGUAAAGAGCGCGUAGGCGGUCUGGUAAGUUGGGAGUGAAAGCCCGGGGCUUAACCUCGGAAUUGCUUUCAAAACUGCCAGGCUAGAGUGUAGUAGGGGAUGAUGGAAUUCCUAGUGUAGAGGUGAAAUUCUUAGAUAUUAGGAGGAACACCGGUGGCGAAGGCGGUCAUCUGGGCUACAACUGACGCUGAGGCGCGAAAGCGUGGGGAGCAAA
rnacentral:rRNA from 1 species